UUCCGGUUGAUCCUGCCGGACCUGACUGCUAUCGGAUUGAUACUAAGCCAUGCGAGUCAUUGUAGCAAUACAAGGCAGACGGCUCAGUAACGCGUAGUCAACCUGCCCUAUGGACGGAAAUAACCUCGGGAAACUGAGUAUAAUGUCCGAUAGAACACUAUACCUGGAAUGGUUUGUGUUCCAAAUGAUUUAUCGCCAUAGGAUGGGACUGCGGCCUAUCAGUUUGUUGGUGAGGUAAUGGCCCACCAAGACUAUUACAGGUACGGGCUCUGAGAGGAGUGGCCCGGAGAUGGGUACUGAGACACGGACCCAGGCCCUAUGGGGCGCAGCAGGCGAGAAAACUUUGCAAUGUGCGAAAGCACGACAAGGUUAAUCCGAGUGGUUUGUGCUAAACGAACCUUUUGUCAGUCCUAGAAACACUAACGAAUAAGGGGUGGGCAAGUUCUGGUGUCAGCCGCCGCGGUAAAACCAGCACCUCAAGUGGUCAGGAUGAUUAUUGGGCCUAAAGCAUCCGUAGCCGGCUCUGUAAGUUUUCGGUUAAAUCUGUACGCUUAACGUACAGGCUGCCGGGAAUACUGCAGAGCUAGGGAGUGGGAGAGGUAGACGGUACUCGGUAGGAAGGGGUAAAAUCCUUUGAUCUAUUGAUGACCACCUGUGGCGAAGGCGGUCUACCAGAACACGUCCGACGGUGAGGGAUGAAAGCUGGGGGAGCAACCGGAUUAGAUACCCGGGUAGUCCCAGCUGUAAACUAUGCAAACUCAGUGAUGCAUUGACUUGUGGUCAAUGCAGUGCUGCAGGGAAGCCGUUAAGUUUGCCGCCUGGGAAGUACGUACGCAAGUAUGAAACUUAAAGGAAUUGGCGGGGGAGCACCACAAGGGGUGAAGCCUGCGGUUCAAUUGGAUUCAACGCCGGA
rnacentral:rRNA from 1 species